ACGGCUCAGUAACACGUAGUCAACCUGCCCUGGAGACAUGGACAACCCCGGGAAACUGGGAUUAAUCCAUGAUAGGUCAUCUCAUCUGGAAGGAGAGAUGGCUUAAAGGGAUGCGAGAGCUUCUUUUUUGCAUCCGCUCCAGGAUGGGACUGCGGCCGAUCAGGCUGUUGGUGGGGUAAUGGCCCACCAAACCUGUAACCGGUACGGGCCUUGAGAGAGGGGGCCCGGAGAUGGACACUGAGAGAAGGGUCCAGGUCCUACGGGGCGCAGCAGGCGCGAAACCUUCGCAAUGCGCGAAAGCGUGACGAGGUUAAUCCGAGUGGUCCCCGCUGAGGGGAUCUUUUGCCGGCUGUAAAAAGGCCGGUGAAUAAGGGGAGGGCAAGUCUGGUGUCAGCCGCCGCGGUAAUACCAGCUCCUCGAGUGGUCGGGGCGAUUAUUGGGCCUAAAGCAUCCGUAGCCUGUUCUGUAGGUCCUCUGUCAAAUCCAACGGCUUAACCGUUGGCCCGCAGAGGAUACCGCAGGACUAGGAGGCGGGAGAGGUGGACGGUACUCCACGUGUAGGGGUAAAAUCCUUUGAUCCGUGGAAGACCACCAGAUUGCACGCGGUUAGCGACCACGUGCUUGGUGAGUGGCGAAGGCGGUCCACCAGAACGCGCUCGACGGUGAGGGAUGAAAGCUGGGGGAGCGAACCGGAUUAGAUACCCGGGUAGUCCCAGCCGUAAACGAUGCAAGCUAGAUGAUCCGGUCGCAAAUCGCGAUCGGAGUGUCGCAGGGAAGCCGUUAAGCUUGCCGCCUGGGGAGUACGGUCGCAAGACUGAAACUUAAAGGAAUUGGCGGGGGAG
rnacentral:rRNA from 1 species